rnacentral:rRNA from 1 species
GAUGAACGCUAGCGGCAGGCUUAAUACAUGCAAGUCGAGGGGCAGCACGGGUAGCAAUACCUGGUGGCGACCGGCGCACGGGUGCGUAACACGUAUACAAUCUACCUAUAACAGGGGGAUAGCCUUUCGAAAGAGAGAUUAAUACCCCGUAAUAAAUUGAGUGGCAUCACUUGAUUUUGAAAGUUCCGACGGUUAUAGAUGAGUAUGCGUCUGAUUAGCUAGUUGGUAGUGUAAUGGACUACCAAGGCGACGAUCAGUAGGGGAUCUGAGAGGACUACCCCCCACACUGGUACUGAGACACGGACCAGACUCCUACGGGAGGCAGCAGUAAGGAAUAUUGGACAAUGGUCGCAAGACUGAUCCAGCCAUGCCGCGUGCAGGAAGACGGCCCUAUGGGUUGUAAACUGCUUUUGUACCAGAGAAAACCUAUCUACGUGUAGAUAGCUGAUAGUAUGGUAAGAAUAAGCAUCGGCUAACUUCGUGCCAGCCGCCGCAGUAACAC